rnacentral:rRNA from 1 species
AAAUUGAAGAGUUUGAUCAUGGCUCAGAUUGAACGCUGGCGGCAGGCCUAACACAUGCAAGUCGAACGGUAACAGGAAUCAGCUUGCUGAUUCGCUGACGAGUGGCGGACGGGUGAGUAAUGUCUGGGAAACUGCCUGAUGGAGGGGGAUAACUACUGGAAACGGUGGCUAAUACCGCAUAACGUCGCAAGACCAAAGAGGGGGACCUUCGGGCCUCUUGCCAUC